AAUGACCCAACAGUGCUAUGAUUAAGCAAAGGGUGGGAGGCACCUCACAAUGGCAAUAGCAGCAUCAAGACAAGGCCUGCUCAGUUGGUACCUGCUUCUUCAGGAAAUCGCCCAAAAGCCUGUUCUCCACCUGCACUGAGCUGUACCCUGAACAUCAAUUCCCAAUGAAAGGCUCUGAUGGAUGAAAUGAGUUCCUUGGCCUCACUCCAGCCUUGAAAUGGUCAUCCAUGAAGAAAAGCUGCUGGGAAGGAACCCAAGAACAGCACAGAGGACCUUACCCAUUGCCUACAUCCAGCAUGAGGACAGCAGUACCUCGAGCCCAAACCCUUCACCUGCCCUCCCCACAUCAUCAUUCUUUGGUCACUGCAUACACUGGGGAAGUCAGAUGCAGCUCUGUCACAGCUUACACUGCAGCAAAAUAUAACACUCAAGCAUACCCAGCACCGAA